GCUUGCUUUCCUGCAGAGUGGCGCACGGGUGCGUAACACGUAUGUAACCUACCUUAAUCUGGGGGAUAGCCUCUCGAAAGAGAGAUUAACACCGCAUAACAUGUUUUAACAGCAUUGUUGAAACAUCAAAUAUUUAUAGGAUUAAGAUGGGCAUGCGGAACAUUAGCUAGUUGGUAAGGUAAUGGCUUACCAAGGCUACGAUGUUUAGGGGAUCUGAGAGGAUGACCCCCCACACUGGUACUGAGACACGGACCAGACUCCUACGGGAGGCAGCAGUAAGGAAUAUUGGUCAAUGGGCGCAAGCCUGAACCAGCCAUGCCGCGUGCAGGAAGACGGCCCUACGGGUUGUAAACUGCUUUUGUACCGGAAUAAACCUUGAUACGUGUAUCGAGCUGAAUGUACGGUAAGAAUAAGGAUCGGCUAACUCCGUGCCAGCAGCCGCGGUAAUACGGAGGAUCCAAGCGUUAUCCGGAUUUAUUGGGUUUAAAGGGUGCGUAGGUGGCCUGUUAAGUCAGGGGUGAAAGACGGUAGCUUAACUAUCGCAGUGCC
rnacentral:rRNA from 1 species